GAUGAAUGCUAGGUGUUGGGGGUCAAACCUCGGUGCCGAAGUUAACACAUUAAGCAUUCCGCCUGGGGAGUACGCACGCAAGUGUGAAACUCAAAGGAAUUGACGGGGACCCGCACAAGCAGCGGAGCAUGUGGUUUAAUUCGAUGCAACGCGAAGAACCUUACCAGGGCUUGACAUGUGGGUGAAAGGUAUAGAGAUAUACCCCUCUCUUUAUGAGACAUCCAUACAGGUGGUGCAUGGCUGUCGUCAG
rnacentral:rRNA from 1 species